GACGAACGCUGGCGGCGUGCUUAACACAUGCAAGUCGAACGGAAAGGCCUCUUUCGGGGGGUACUCGAGUGGCGAACGGGUGAGUAACACGUGAGUAACCUGCCCUUGACUUUGGGAUAACUUCAGGAAACUGGGGCUAAUACCGGAUAGGAGCUCCUGCUGCAUGGUGGGGGUUGGAAAGUUUCGGCGGUUGGGGAUGGACUCGCGGCUUAUCCGCUUGUUGGUGGGGUAGUGGCUUACCAAGGCUUUGACGGGUAGCCGGCCUGAGAGGGUGAUCGGCCACAUUGGGACUGAGAUACGGCCCAGACUCCUACGGGAGGAAGCAGUGGGGAAUAUUGCACAAUGGGUGGAAGCCUGAUGCAGCAACGCCGUGUGCGGGAUGACGGACUUCGGGUUGUAAACCGCUUUCGCUCAUGACGAAGCUUUGUGUGACGGUAGUGGGUAAAGAAGCACCGGCUAACUACGUG
rnacentral:rRNA from 1 species